UACGAAGGGUGCAACCGUUGCUCGGAAUUAUUGGGCGUAAAGCGCACGUAGGCGGCUUAGCAAGUCGGAUGUGAAAGCCCUCGGCUCAACCAAGGAAGUGCAUCCGAAACUGCUGAGCUUGAGUACUUAAGAGGAUCGCGGAAUUCCCGGUGUAGAGGUGAAAUUCGUAGAUAUCGGGAGGAACACCGGUGGCGAAGGCGGAUCUCUGGGCCAUUACUGACGCUGAGGAGCGAAAGCGUGGGGAGCGAACAGG
rnacentral:rRNA from 1 species